GGUACCGGGAGCGCCCCGCUGGGCGCCGGGGUGCGGGACAGAGCACACAGGCCGGCCUCUGCUCUCCGGAGCUGCGGCUCUCGUGUCUUUGAGGACUACAAACAUAUUUCAGAUACCCUUUCUGCAUCAGAUUCUUCUGGAUUCGAGCCAGGAUGAGCAGGAUUACCUGAGGUUUCCCUAGCCUCCCUCUCUGGAAUGGAUCCUGACAGCACAUCAUUGCCUCCCUUCUGUUUGGUAAGGAAAAUCUCCCCGACCAGAUGGCUUACUCUUCAGUGAAAGUGGUGGCCCACCUGCUGCGGUGCUGGUUUUACCCUCCAAGAGGGCGAUUCAUCUGGGAUCCAGCCCUGGGAUGGGAAGAUGGUGGUUCUGCUGGCUUACAGGUGAACCCAGAACCAGAGAUGACAUUGACAGCUUGGAAAACCAGCGUGAAUUGGUCUUGUAACCCACGACAGCUAGGAAAUUGGAAGUUGCUUUGGGACUUGAGGUGUCCAUCUGUUGGAAGGACUGAAUUAUAGCAUCAGCAGAGUGAGCCAGCUUUCUCCAAAGUGGAUGCUGUCUUAGACCUGGUCGCCUCCCUUUCAUAGCUGAGAACAAUAUACACCCAAGAAAUACAAGGUCAUUUCAGAUGUUUGUGAAGAAAUGGAAUUAAAAGGCAAGUUUAU